rnacentral:rRNA from 1 species
GACGAACGCUGGCGGCGUGCUUUACACAUGCAAGUCGAACGGAAAGGCCUCUUUCGGGGGGUACUCGAGUGGCGAACGGGUGAGUAACACGUGAGUAACCUGCCCUUGACUUUGGGAUAACUUCAGGAAACUGGGGCUAAUACCGGAUAGGAGCUCCUGCUGCAUGGUGGGGGUUGGAAAGUUUCGGCGGUUGGGGAUGGACUCGCGGCUUAUCAGCUUGUUGGUGGGGUAGUGGCUUACCAAGGCUUUGACGGGUAGCCGGCCUGAGAGGGUGACCGGCCACAUUGGGACUGAGAUACGGCCCAGACUCCUACGGGAGGCAGCAGUGGGGAAUAUUGCACAAUGGGUGGAAGCCUGAUGCAGCAACGCCGUGUGCGGGAUGACGGCCUUCGGGUUGUAAACCGCUUUCGCUCAUGACGAAGCUUUGUGUGACGGUAGUGGGUAAAGAAGCACCGGCUAACUACGCG